CCACCAGAGUAUAAAUUCCUCAAGGGUAAGAAUGUUGCUAUUUUGUUCACUGCUCUAUCCCCAUUGUCACACAGGGUGUUUGGCCCACAGUAGGAGUUCCUAAAUAUUAACCAAAUGAAUAAAUUCAAAAGAAUCUCACUUUUGAGUUAGGUUCUUGCCCUCCCCAUAUUUCACUCACCCUUUGCAUCAUAGAAAUGGUUGAGGGGUCAGUUAGGACAGAUCUCCAAAAAAUGUUUUAGGAAGACUUAAAAUAUAUAUUUUGAAAAUAGGGGAAAAUGUGAAUAUAUACUUCACACCAAGUUGUGACCCCCUACAAAUAUGAAAAGUAUGCAACUUCCUUAGACAUUGGAAAAAUACAAAUUAGAACACAGUACCAUUACAACUGGACACUCCCUGAAAGGCUAACAUGAAAAUUAGGGAUAUUAACAAGGAUGUAGAACCACCAGAACGCUCCCACAUCAGUGCUUCUCAGACUAAAAGGUGAAGAACAAAUGUGUUCUUUUUUGCGGGGGGGGGGGGCGGUUAUUGUUGGUUUCUGUUUUUCGUUGUGUUUUUUUAAUUGUGUUAGGUUAGUCACCCUACAGUACAUCAUUAGUUUUUGAUGUGGUGUUCCAAGAUUCAUUGUUUACAUAUAACACCCAGUGGCCCAUGCAAUGCAUUUUUUUCCUUUUUUUUUUUUAGAUAUCCUAUGCAGUGCACACCAAGACAUGUCCCACUGAGCGUGACUAGGGAGGAGCUCCCACCACUCUUUUAAAUUUUAAGAAAACGGGAAAAAACUUGAAUUGAAAGUUCUGAGUGAAGACUGGAUUUCUCUCCACUUCGUUGUGAAGUUUGACACAGAGAAGAAUGUUUUCUGAUCUCUGAGUGAGUCCAGGAAACUUCUGCCAGGAAAGCAUAUCAAAGCAUGGAGCUCCUAAUGAGAUACCAGGCAAGUCGGGUCAAACCUAAGCCUCAUUUUUCUGAAACUUUGGCAACAUUCUAAAGUACUGUGAUUUCACAUUCUUCAAACUUCAAUAUAUAGAUUUUAGCUUCAAAGCCUAAAAAUGAUUCAGCCCAAAAAUAUCUAACCUGAAGAUAAAGAAGAAAUAUCUGAGUAUAGCUAAUAAAAUUAUUUCAGCUGAUUUGAGUUUUUGAGAUUGCAAAUUUCCUAUAUAUGAAGAGUGACACUUUUUCAAUUCCACCUAUGUUUGAAAAUACCUCUAAAGACCUUACGACCAUGGGAUGUCAAAAUAGCAAGGGAGACUUCCUUCCCAUCUUCUUUCUUUCCUUCCUUCCUAUUUUUAUUUUUGUUUUUUAAAGACUUAUUUAUUUUAGAGAAAGAGCAUGAGGGGAGGGGCAGAGGGAGAAGGAGAGACAGAAUCUCAAGCAGAUUCCCCACUGGGCAUGGAGCCCCACGUGGGGCUCGAUCCCAGGACUCUGAGAUCAUGACCUGAGCUGAAAUCAAGAGUCAGACAAGAAUAAAAACUCGUUUAUUUCCCUG
rnacentral:lncRNA from 1 species